AUUCUGCUGCAAAAAUAUUAAUGAAUUGACUCAUUAAUUAGGUGCACGAAGAAAACAGAAAAUUGGAAGAGAGUUGGAGCAAAUAAAGAAGUGGAUGCAACUGGAAACUUUUUGGGGGAUAAAAAGAUGGGUCAGGCUGUCUCCCCUGAGCCGGGGAUGUACCUGCAGAGCUGUGGGUGAGGAGCAGCUGGGAGAAUCCUCCUGUCUUGGGCCUCCAUCCCUCUGUUCUUGGGAGCCGUGUCCAUCCUCAGGGAUGCGGGAUGUGCCCGCGAAGCGUGACUUGGAUUUCCACUGCAGUGAAAAUGGAGAAUAAACCACCGGUGCAAUCCAGGAGCAACAGGAAGGAAAGUGACAUCUGAGCAGUCCCCAGGCUGUCCUCCUCUGCCUGAAAUAACUCCUGUAGCAGAGCAGAGCCUGGAGGUAUCUUGGAUCCUGUUGGGCAUCCAAGGGAUGCUGAAAAACUGGUUGCUGCUGGAGGAAGAGCAUCUGAGGGGCAGUGACACAUGGCCUGAGCUGCAGGAUGGGCUCCCAGCAACCUGGAUUUUGAAGGAGCCCCCUCCCUGCUCACUGCACAGCAAUAGCUCCUGCUAGCACGUCCCAGGAGCAGCAAAAAAUGGCUCAGGCUUGUGUGGAAAUGGAAGAAUGAAGUGAGAGUUCAUUUUUCCUCUCUCUCCCAACCAGGAGAUUCAUGAGGUGGCUGGCAUGAGGGAACUGGUGGAACGUGUUCCCUCCUGCCCUGCAAUGUUGAUCCCUGGCACUGUGAGGAUUAGCAAGUGGUCAAAAGCAUCAGGAGGUGACCUUGCUCUGCCAUAAGAUCCCUCCCUCGUGGGCCUGGGCUGCCCAGGGAAAGCUGGCAGCACCCUGUGGACUGGUUUUAUAACAUCAAGAAGAAUGGAAAAGCUGCAAGGCAUGCACACUCAAGACGCUGCGCUCCUGGAAAGUUCUGGAUGGGCUCCAGGCAAUGUUUGGUGGCUAAGAAGGAUGAAGGUCUUGGAAAGAAGAGGAAACAAUCAGCCAAGCCCUCAUCCUGCAAUAUUCCUGUUUCUGUGAGCUGGGAAUGCCAUUGGAGCAUGGGAAGGACAGAAAAAUGCGUUCCUGCAACGUCACGUGUCUGAGGGAAACCAGGCCAGCAAGUGGGAUGUGCCACAAAACCUCUGUAGCACGAGCGCCUGCCUCAAACAGCCCCAACCUCAUGGGAGGGUUUUGUGUGGUCAGGAAAGGGGUUUUGGACCCGGAGAUCUGGAUUAACAAGAUAACUGAUGAUCAGCUGAUACUCAGCAUUCACAGAGCAGCCUUAUCAUAACCAGCACCAGCCCCAUGCUCCCCCUCUUUAUCACCCAAGGGCUGAGCAAACCCAAGGCCAACAUCCUCCCAUAGGUCCGUCCUGAGAACUACCAGAAGAUCUGGAGGAGAAGGCUCCUCCCAGGCCACUUU